CCUACGGGCGGCAGCAGUAGGGAAUCUUCCACAAUGGGCGAAAGCCUGAUGGAGCAACGCCGCGUGGGUGAAGAAGGUCUUCGGAUCGUAAAACCCUGUUGUUAGAGAAGAAAGUGCGUGAGAGUAACUGUUCACGUUUCGACGGUAUCUAACCAGACAGCCACGGCUAACUACGUGCCAGCAGCCGCGGUAAUACGUAGGUGGCAAGCGUUAUCCGGAUUUAUUGGGCGUAAAGGGAACGCAGGCGGUCUUUUAAGUCUGAUGUGAAAGCCUUCGGCUUAACCGGAGGAGUGCAUUGGAAACUGGGAGACUUGAGUGCAGAAGAGGAGAGUGGAACUCAAUGUGUAGCGGUGAAAUGCGUAGAUAUAUGGAAGAACACCAGUGGCGAAAGCGGCUCUCUGGGCUGUAACUGACGCUGAGGUUCGAAAGCGUGGGUAGCAAACAGGAUUAGAUACCCUAGUAGUC
rnacentral:rRNA from 1 species